ensembl:lncRNA
UCUCCCUCUGGAAUUUUGGGAAUACGGAUUUUAGCGGGAAAAUCUGAUAGGGGUUGGGGUUUUUGGGGAUUUUCUGGGUUUUUUUCUGGGGUUUCUUGUUUUUUUCCUGGGAUUUCCUGUUUUUUCCUGGGAUUUCCUGGUUUUUCUUGGGGUUUUCCUGAGAUUUCCUGGGAUUUUUUUGUUUUUUCUUGGGAUUUUCUGGUUUUUUUCUGGGAUUUCCUGGGAAUUCUUGGUUUUUUCCUGAUAUUUCCUGGGAUUUCCUGGUUUUUACUGAGAUUUCCUUGGUUUUUCAUGGAUUUUCGUUUUUUCCUGGGAUUUCCUGGGAAUUCUUGGUUUUUUCUUGGGAUUUUCUGGGUUUUUUCUGGGUUUUCCUGGGGUUUUCCUGGGAUUUCCUGGGAAUUCUUGGGUUUUUCCUGAUAUUUCCUGGGAUUUCCUGGGAUUUUCCUGGGAUUUCUUAGAAUUUUCUGGGUUUCUUCUGGGAUUUCCUGGGUUUUCCAGGCAUUUCCUGGGUUUUCCUGGAGUUUCCUGGGAUUUCCUGGGGUUUCCUGGCUUUUUCCUGGGAUUUCUUGGCUUUUUCUUGGGGUUUCCUGGGAUUUCCUGGGAAUUUCUGGGUUUUCCUGGUUUUUUUCUGGGAUUUUCUGGGAUUUUUCCUCGGAUUUCCUGGGAUUUCCUGGCUUUUUCCUGGGAUUUUUCUGGCUUUUCCCGGGGAUUUCCUGGGUUUUCCUGGGGUUUUGAGGGGUGGGAAGAUCCCAAAUUGGCCGGGAUGGUUUUCCGUGGGAUAAGGGAUCAGUCGGGAUGGGAAAUUCCCAGUUUGGGGAUGGAAUUCCCGUUUUAAAGACCAGAAAUUCCCAGUUUAGGGAUAGAAAAUUCCCACUUUAGACAUUUAAAAUUCCCAGUUCGGGGCUGGAAUUCCCGGUUUUUGGAGGGAAUUCCCAGUUUGGGGUUGGGAAUUCCCAGUUUUUGGAGGGAAUUCCCAGUUUGGGGUUGGGAAUUCCCAGUUUGGGGCUGGAAUUCCCAGUUUUUGGAGGGAAUUCCCAGUUUGGGGAGGGAAUUCCCAGUUUGGGGUUGGGAAUUCCCAGUUUUUGGAGGGAAUUCCCAGUCUGGGGUUGGAAAUUCCCAGUUUUUGGAGGGAAUUCCCAAUUUGGGGUUCGGAAUUCCCAGUUUUUGGAGGGAAUUCCCAGUUUGGGGGUGGGUUGGGAAUUCCCAGUUUGGGGUUGGGAAUUCCCAGUUUUUGGAGGGAAUUCCCAGUUCGGGGGGUGUUGGGAAUUCCCGGUUUCUGCAGUGAAUUCCCGGGAUUCCUUUUCCAGAGGAAUUUUUCCCGGCCGCCUCCCCCUGGAUCCCGGCCCUGGCGCUGCUCCUCACCCUGGCGCUGUUCCUGCUGCUGGCGGCCGCGCUCCGACUGCGCUGGAACAGCCGGAUCCUGGCUCGGGAGCGUGAGUGCAAUUCUUUCAUUCAUUAAUUAAUUCAUUAAUUGAAGAAGUGCCGGUCAUUAAUUAAGAUCCCCAAUUAAGGCUUCAGCCGGGAUUUGGGGAGGUUUGAGGAGGGAUUUUGGCCGGAAUUGGAAUUAUUAAUUGAUAUGAAUUUUAUUAUUUAUAAAAUUAAUAUUUAUUUAUGGAUGAAAUAUUAUUCGAUAUAUCUUGAAUUAAAUAUGGAUAUG